rnacentral:rRNA from 1 species
CCUACGGGAGGCAGCAGUGGGGAAUAUUGCACAAUGGGGGAAACCCUGAUGCAGCGACGCCGCGUGAGUGAAGAAGUAUUUCGUUACGUAAAGCUCUAUCAGCAGGGAAGAAAAUGACGGUACCUGAGUAAGAAGCCCCGGCUAACUACGUGCCAGCAGCCGCGGUAAUACGUAGGGGGCAAGCGUUAUCCGGAUUUACUGGGUGUAAAGGGAGCGUAGACGGCGGGCCAAGUCUGGAGUGAAAUCCCGGGGCUUAACUGCGGAACUGCUUUGGAAACUGGCCAGCUAGAGUGCAGGAGGGGUAAGCGGAAUGCCUAGUGUAGCGGUGAAAUGCGUAGAUAUUAGGAGGAACACCGGUGGCGAAGGCGGCUUACUGGACCGUAACUGACGUUGAGGCUCGAAAGCGUGGGGAGCAAACAGGAUUAGAUACCCGUGUAGUC